UAAAUAAAUAGAGGUUGCAGCUGACAAGAGUCACUAACCAAACCGGCGGGUAAUGCGGUUAGUAAAAGGGGAAGUUGCCGAAAUGAACGGAUGGCAGUCUUAGUUCGUUGGUCUACUGAUUAAGAGUCAGCAGACUGUCGCAAUAAUUUUAUACCAUUGCGGAGCGCUAUCGAUAGA
rnacentral:ncRNA from 2 species